rnacentral:sRNA from 1 species
CAAUGCGGGGAAUGUGACUGCCGUCUUCAAGAGUGUUAGGACGGCCAGACUUGUCCGCCAUCGUUUCCUGGAAAUGGCAUCCAAGCACAGGUGUCAGUUUGCGGGCGUCAGUGUUGACUACUCCGCCGAUCCUUGCGAAAAGCAAUUGACUUUGACACAAAACGGGGUGAGAGCGCGGCCCUAGCACCUUGGUCGAUAGAGAGAGGGGACCUGGAAUGUUUGGAUGGCUUCACC